rnacentral:SRP_RNA from 9 species
GCCGAGCUCAGUUGCGAGAGCUUGUAACCCGAGUGGGGGCAUUAAGGUGAUGUGGACAUUGUUGUAGCGCUGCGGGCCUGGUCUGAGAAUGCUACUGUUGGCCCGCCCGUUCCAAGUUGAGUAGUGGACCGCUUGGGCUCUAUGCGAAAGCUGGGCCUCAUGGUCCAUAAUGUGGCAGGCACAACGUGAGGCUGGCUUCAUAGAGCAGAGACCACAACAAAUCAACCAAGCCAGCGUGAGUACGUGGUUUACGAGUUGCACCUGGUAAUAUAUUCUCACUUUACCUACCAAUACAAUGCUACGCAAUCUUG